GUGGCUGUAGCAGAAGAAUGUGAAGGGGAAAACUACAAUCUAGGUAGGGAACAGGACAUUAUCUUUUUUUUUUUCUGUUGAAGAAUAAACAGAGGCCUAAGGUAUUAUGGUACAUCACCUACCUGCAAUAUCUGGGCACAAUGAGCUGUAAACAGGGACAGAGAAUCAGUAACCAAUCGAACAGAGAUGGAGGCAAUCUGCAGGGAUUUCUAUACUCAGCUGUUUGCAUCACGUAUAGACGUCCCAAUGCCAUCACUUCAACAAAUGGAUGAACACAUACUCCUGGUUCUCAUUAGCAAAGUCCGCCACACAGUCCAUCAAAUGAAAGAAGGGAAAGCUUCAGUCUACCAUGCAAGGUGCCCUGAAGAUCAAUAGAAUGUGGCUCUGGUAGCCCAGGGAAGAGUAAGUUACAAAGUCAUGGGCUCUCUGUUGUGAACCUCUUUCUCCAAACAAACGUAACUAAGGACCAUCAGCUUGAGCUUUCCACUUGGCCUAAGUUGCACCUUAGAGAGAGACUGUUUGGUACUCUUUCUAUUCUGGAUAUCCAUUAAUAAAGCCUCCCUCACCAACACCCAAAUACUGCAGCAGAGCUUCAUUGAACAAACCUCUUUAUACAAGAUGUAAGGAAGAGGGAUUUGAUCUAUGAAAAGCUUGAAUGGGCCUGGAAACUGAGUAUUAACCUGAUUUAGAAGACUUGAACCAAGCCUUGAACCCAUGGAAACACCACUCCAAGGCACUGCUCAGAGGACCAGACCUUUUGAUGAAUGUCAGUUGAGAGCACUCAACACCUCCUAAGAUAGGUGAGGAGAUGUAUCUUUGGACGUUCCAGUGUCUCUGCAGUUUGACACCCAUGUAGCAUUUGGUUUAUACUCUGGAAUUUUGUAGUGCUAGAAAAUAGCUUCCUCAUUUUCAGUGUUGAGGGUCAUACCUACUUAUGUAGUAAAUAAUUCUGUACAUUCAGAGAUCUUUCUGGCUGUCAGCUUGAUGCCUGUUCAUCAAUGUGACUAUGAAAAAGAAUCGCAAUGUGACAGCAUGGUCCAUUACCAGAAAUCAGGUUUUGUGAAAGACUUUCUGCUCACUUGGGCUGCAGUUUGUAAUUACCAUGGUAAUCUGUUGUGAAAUGUUAACCCUAUAGUACAUCAAAGAGUCAUCAACAAUGGAUUACUCUACUUAGUCACCUCCUAGCCACACCUCCUUGUGUGCAGCAAUGCUCACAAUAAAAAGCAAACUUUAGUAGUCAUAAGAAAACAACAUAAUCUGAUUCACAUCAGAGAAGACUGGCAAAUAACUUUCAUUUUUCCUGUUUGCAAAAAAAAUUCUUACCACCACCCACAGCUAGUUUAACUCU